rnacentral:rRNA from 1 species
CCUACGGGGGACAGCAGUCGAGAAUCAUUCACAAUGGGGGAAACCCUGAUGGGGCGACGCCGCGUGGGGGAAUGAAGGUCUGCGGAUUGUAAACCCCUGUCAUGUGGGAGCAAAUUAAAAAGAUAGUACCACAAGAGGAAGAGACGGCUAACUCUGUGCCAGCAGCCGCGGUAAUACAGAGGUCUCAAGCGUUGUUCGGAAUCACUGGGCGUAAAGCGUGCGUAGGCUGUUUCGUAAGUCGUGUGUGAAAGGGGCGGGCUCAACCCGCGGACGGCACAUGAUACUGCGAGACUAGAGUAAUGGAGGGGGAACCGGAAUUCUCGGUGUAGCAGUGAAAUGCGUAGAUAUCGAGAGGAACACUCGUGGCGAAGGCGGGUUCCUGGACAUUAACUGACGCUGAGGCACGAAGGCCAGGGGAGCGAAAGGGAUUAGAUACCCGGGUAGUC